UGGUCAAACGAUAAGAGCAUAGGGUGGAUGCCUAGGCACUAAGAGCCGAAGAAAGACGUGAUAAGCUGCGAUAAGCGAUGGGGAUCGGCAAAUACGAAAUGAUCCAUCGAUCUCUGAAUGGGGAGACCCACUGGAGGAGACCUCCAGUACCUGUAUGUGAAUACAUAGCAUGCAGGAGGGAACCCGGUGAACUGAAACAUCUAAGUAGCCGGAGGAAGAGAAAGAAAACUCGAUUCCGAAAGUAGCGGCGAGCGAAAUCGGAAGAGCCCAAACCGUGGUGCGAGCACCGCGGGGUAAGGACUGCAUUUAGUUUCCUUGAACGAGUAGAACACUGUGGGAACAGUGACCAGAGAGGGUGAAAGUCCCGUACACGAAGGGAAAGGAAAUGAGCAGUAUCCGGAGUACUGUCAGACACGUGGAACCUGGCAGGAAUAAGGGGGGACCACCCCCCAAGGCUAAAUACUCCUUAGUGACCGAUAGCGAUAAGUACUGUGAAGGAAAGGUGAAAAGGACCCCGGGAGGGGAGUGAAAGAGAACCUGAAACCCUGUGUUUACAAGCUGUGGAACACCGAAAGGUGGACCGCGUACUUUUUGUAGAACGGUCCGGCGAGUUAUAUAUACUGGCAAGGUUAAGGACUUAAGGUCCGGAGCCGAAGCGAGAGCGAGUCUUAAGAGGGCGUAAAGUCAGUAAGUAUAGACCCGAAACCGGGUGACCUAUCCAUGUCCAGGAUGAAGCUAAAGUAAAAUUUGGUGGAGGUCCGAACGCACAUCCGUUGAAAAGGGUGGCGAUGAGGUGUGGAUAGCGGAGAAAUUCCAAUCGAACCCGGAGAUAGCUGGUUCUCCUCGAAAUAGCUUUAGGGCUAGCCUCAUGGAGAGUCUCGGGCAGGUAGAGCACUGAAUUGUUGAGGGGGCGUCAAAGUCUACCAAGACAUAUCAAACUGCGAAUGGCCUUGAGAUAUACAUGGGAGUCAGACUGCGCGAUAUAAAUUGCAUAGUCAAAAGGGAAACAGCCCAGACCUACAGCUAAGGUCCCAAAGUGCGUGUUAAGUGGUAAAGGAUGUGGGAUUUCAUAGACAACUAGGAUGUUGGCUUAGAAGCAGCCACACAUUCAAAGAGUGCGUAAUAGCUCACUAGUCGAGAGGUCCUGCGCCGAAAAUUCACGGGGCUGAAACACGACACCGAAGCUUAGGAAUUGAAAAAUUGGUAGAGGAGCAUUGAUGUAAGGAUGAAGCGGUACCGGAAGGAACCGUGGACAUACAUGAAGAGAGAAUGCCGGAAUGAGUAGCGAGAUGGAGGUGGGAAUCCUCCAGGCCGAAUAUCUAAGGAUUCCAGGGUAAAGCUGAUCUGCCCUGGGUAAGUCGGGACCUAAGGCGAGGCCGAGAGGCGUAGUCGAUGGACAGCUGGUCAAGAUUCCAGCACCUUAUAGUAUCAGAAAUGUGGGGACACAUGGGAAAUGGCAGAGCCGGGAAUGAAGAGACCGGUCCAAACGCAGAAGCUGUGAGACAGGAAAAACCGUCUCAUAAGGCGAGGGCGCGACGGGGAGCGAAA
rnacentral:rRNA from 1 species